UAUUCCAUCUGGCAGCUCAGCGCAGUUAGGAGAGAGGCGGACUUGUUUGUAGUGCAAUUAAGCGUGUCCUUGGUGAAGCCUAAGUUAAGAGAAGGCUCGGAUACAAGGAGCACGUUAAAGGACAGGAUUGGCCCGAACUUUUGAACUGUCUUCUGGGACAGGCCUGGACUCUCGUCUCGAGUCCACCCGGACCUGAACCCCAGCCAUCAGCGAAGUCGUAGGUCUGAGCAGUCAUGUUGCUUAUUUAUCGAGGAUGAGCUGAUGUGGACCAGAGAGAAUGCUGUUCUCUAAGACAGCUUCCUGGACUCAGUGACCUUCGCUGAUGUGGCUGUGUACUUCACCCAGGAAGAGUGGACUUUACUGAACCCCUUUCAGAGAAAGCUAUAUAGAAAUGUGAUGCUGGAAAACUGCAAGAACCUGACCACAGCAGGAUAUAAGCAUUCAAACCAAAUCUAAUAUCUUGGUUGGAAAAUAAGAGUUGAAGACUGUGGAGAGACAGAUCCUCCAAGGUGCGAGAUUAUAAAGAACUUCCCAGGGCAAUUAAAUUUCAGUAUGUUUUGAGUUUAUAAGAAGGAAACUUAGUGAGAUGUGUUUUCCUUCAGAAGGCUGAGGACAUUGGUUUCUAAUGCUCUGUAACUUCCUCAACAUCUUAUACAAUGGGAAAUGCACAUCCAAUGGCUUGGAAAUUCAGCAGGAUAUUUUGUGGGAAAAAACAUCAAAUAGGGUACAAAUGGUAUGAUCAACACAAAGUCACAAUGGACAGGAACUGUAUGACUGUGAGCAAAAUAAGAAAGACAUUGGUGACCACUUUUACCUUAGGAUACACAGGAGCACUGAAAACAGAAGGAAUUUUUAUGAAGAUAAUCAGUAUGGAAAGAGCUUCCAUACUCUACACAAUAAACCCUUUACUGGGGAAAAUCCUCCAUGUUUAAUCAGUGUGGAAAAGCUGUCAGGCUGACUCCAGAUAUUACACAUAUGAGAACACACACUGGAGAGAAACCUUUUUAAGUGUGACAAAGCUUUUAGGUUGUUCUCAUUGCUUCAUGUUCACCGUCGAUUUCACACUGGAAUGUGGGAAGGACUUUGCUGUAUCCUCAAACCUCACUGGACAUAUGAAAACUCACACUAGAAAGCAACCCUAUAAAUGUAAAGAAUGUGGGAGAGACUUUCAUCGAUCCUCAGACCUCACUGGACGUCUGAAAACUCACACUGGAGAGAAACCCUAUGAAUGUAAGGAAUGUGGGAAAGCUUUUGGGUCAUCGUCAUACCUUCAUGUUCACAGUCAAAUUCACACUGGAAUAAAAGCUUACAAAUAUCAAGAAUGUGGGAAAACCUUUACUUUCCCCUCUCGCCUUAUUGAACAUAUGAAAACGCACACUGGUGAGAAGCCUUUUAAGUGACAAGGCAUGUGGGAAAGUCUUUGCAUCUUCUCAUAAUCUUCUUAGACAUUUACGAUCUCAUACAAGGCAGAAGACUGCACAUUUAGUGCCAGAUGUGGGAAAGCCUUCACUUGUUCUUCACUAGUUACUCAACAUAUGAGAACAUACACUGGAGAGAAGCCUUAUAAGUGUAAUGCAUGUGGGAAAGCCUUUGGGUUUUCCAGUAAUCUUCUUAGACAUUUACAAUCCCAUACUGGGCAGAAGACUGCUAAAUGUGACAGAUGUGGGAAAACUUUCAAGUCUCAGUUCUUACUCAACAUAUGAGAACACACACUGGAGAGAAACCUUUUAAGUGUGACACAUGUGAAAAAGCCUUUAGGUUGUUUUCAUAUCUUCAUGUUCACUGUCGAUUUCACAAUGGAAUAAAACCUUACAAAUGUAAGGAAUGUGGGAAAGACUUCUCUGUAUCCUCACACCUCACUGGACAUAUGAAAACUAAUACUAGAAAGCAACCCUAUAAAUGUAAAGAAUGUGGGAAAGACUUCUCUGUAUCCUCACACCUCACUGCACAUAUGAAAACUAAUACUAGAAAGCAACCCUAUAAAUGUAAAGAAUGUGGGAAAGACUUUCAUCGAUCCUCAGACCUCAUUGGACAUAUGAAAACUCACACUGGAAAGAAACCCUAUGAAUGUAAGGAAUGUGGGAAAGCCUUUGGAGCGUCCUCACACCUGCAUGUUCACAGUUGAAUUCACUCUGGAAUAAAACCUUACAAAUGUCAGGAAUGUGGGAAAACCUUCACUCUCCCUUCACACCUUUUUGAACAUAUGAACACUUAUGUUGGAGAGCGACCCUAUAAAUGUAAGGAAUGUGGGGAAGCUUUUGGAUCAUCAUCACACCUUUAUGUUCACAGUCAAAUUCACACUGGAAUAAAACCUUACAAAUGUCAAGAAUGUGGGAAAACCUUCACUUGCCCCUCUCGCCUUAUUAUACAUUUGAAAAUGCACACUGGAGAGAAUCCUUUUAAGUGUGACACAUGUGGGAAAGGCUUUGUGUCUUCUCGUAAUCUUUAGACAUUUAUGAUCUCAUACUAGGCAGAAGACUGCUAAAUGUGACAGAUGUGGGAAAGCAUUCGCUCGAUCCUCACAAGUUACUCAGCAUAUGAGAACACACACUGGAGAGAAGCCUUAUAAGUGUAAUGCAUGUGGGAAAACCUUUUGAUUUUCCAGUAAUCUUCUUAGUCAUUUAUGAUCUCAUACUGGGCAGAAGACUGCUAAAUGUGACAGAUGUGGGAAAGUCUUCACGCAAGUCUGAGUUCUUACUAGACAUAUGAAAACACACAUGGGAGAGAAGCUUUUUAAGUGUGACACAUGUGGAAAAACCUUCACUCUAUCCUCAUACCUUACUCAACAUAUGAAAACACACACUGGAGAGAAGAUUUAUAAGUGUGACAUGUGGGAAGGUCUUCACUCGAUGCUCAUACCUUACUAAACAUAUGGAAAGACACACUGGAGAGAAGCUUUGUAAGUGUGACACAUGUGGAAAGGCCUCCACUGAAUGCUCAGGCCUUACUCGACAUAUGACAACACACAUGGGAGAGAAGCCUUUUAAGUGUGACAAAUGUGGGAAGGCUUUUGCUGAUUCCUCAUGUCUUACUAAACAUUUUAGAAUGCACACUGGAGAGAAGCCUUUUGAUUAAUAUACAUGGGAAAACAUUUACCACUUCUUUGCCUGUUACUGCACACAAGCGAAGUCACACUGGAGAGAAACCAUAUUUGUGUAAGGAACGUGGGUAAACCUUUUUUUCUCCUCAGUGCUUACUUUCUAUAGACAAUGACAUUGGAAAAAAAGCCACUGAAAUGUGACAAAUGUGGGAAAGCUCUUGCUGAUUCCUCCUAUCAUACUUAACAUUUUAUUUUUAAUAUUUGACUGCAUCUGCAGCAGAUGAGACCUUAGUUCUCUGACCAAGGAUCAAACCCAUGCCCCCUGCAUUGGAAGGCAGAGUCUUGACCACUGGACAACCAGGGAGGUCCCAUACUAAACAUUUUUGAACUCAACAUAGAAUACUUUUGAGUGUAAUAAAUUUCGGACAAGACUCGCCAAUUCUUCACUCUUUAUCAUUCACAAGUGUAUCAACACUGGAUAGAAACCCCAUAAAUUUCAGGAUUUGGAAAUCAAUUUUAUCAUUCUUAUCUCAAAGGAAAAAGAUCUAAUAAUGGUGUAAAGGAAUAUGAAGGAAAAAGAAACUACGGUCUAACAGCACCACCAAAGAAGGUGGUGUUAUGUAUGUGGUACGAUUGGAAGGGAGUCGUCUUUUGAGCUCCAUGUGAAAAGCCAAAUGGUUAAUUCUAAAAAGUACUGCUCCCAAUUAGAGCAACUGGAAGUAACACUUGAUAAAAGCAUCCAGAAUUAGUCAACAGGAAACACACAAUCUUCCAUCAAGAUAACUAACGCAAGACCACAUGUUUCUUUGAUGACUAGGCCAAAACUGGUACAGCUUGGUUGGGAAGUUCUGAUUGACCCAUUGUAUUCACCAGACAUUGCACGUUUGGAUGCCCAUUUAUUUCAGUCUGUAUCAAAUUCUCUUGAUGGAAAAAAAUUCCAUUCCCUGGAAGACUGUAACAGGUACCUAGAACAAUCCUAUGUUCUAAAAGACAAAAAGAUGGAAUUGUAAAGUUGCCUGAAGAAAUGGCAGAAGGUAGUGGAUCAAAAUGGUGAAUAUGUUGUUCAGUGAAGUUCUCGGUGAAAAUGAUAAUUGUAUUUGCUUUAAAAGCACAGGAAACUUUUGGCCAACCCAAUAUUUUGGAUGGAGUUGCACUCACUGAAAAUUUCUAUGUUGGUGUCUUAAUCCCAGUGCCUCAGAUUGUGAUUUUAUUCAGAGAAAGUGGCUUUAAAAAGAGGUAAGUAAUUUUAAAAUGAGGUCAUUAGGGUGCACGCUAAUGCAAUCUCACUGCUGCCCUUAUAGGAAAAGAAGAUUAGGAAAUACAGAGAAACUAGGGCACACGUGCUCUGUGGAAUGACCAUAUGCAGAGGCAGUGAUAGGAUGUUUAUAUUCAAUCCAAGGAGACAUACCUGAGAGGAAACUUUGGCAGCCCCAGCAAACUAAUAAUGGCACCAAUGCAAAAAUCCUCCUGCCCCAACAUUUAUUUGGGCCAUGCUGCUGUAAUUAUUUAAAUGAAAGCAGUGACAAACUUUGCCCAGCUCCAAGUAGACAGCACCUUGCCAUAGGCCCAUGCUAAAUACCUCCUGCUUCUUGCCCUGAAGCUUGUCUGACACCAUACUAUAGGACAUCUGAGGGAAUCUGCUCUGUAUUCAGACAUGUGCAACUCAGAAAGUUGGUGAUGGGCCUUCCCUGGAGGUCCAGUGGUUAAGACUGCUUUUCCAAUGCAGAGCGUGCAGGUUUGAGCCCCUGGUCAAGGAAUUGAGAUCCCUCCACAUACCAAGUAGCACAACCAAAAAGGGGGAAAAAAGAAAUAUGAGGAUGCUAAUCCCUCCUGGAUAUACUUGUUCAGCAGAAGAUGUGCACUGAAGUUUUUUUCAUUUACUGAGUGGAAAUUUCUGAGACACAUAUCAUAUUGUACGUAAGAAGGACCUGGUGGGAUUGAACAACAGUCACCAAAGAAAUCAAGAUUAUGAUUAUUUAGAUUGGUUUGGUUUUUCUUCCUUCUCUAGAAGAUAAUAUUGUAUAUUCUGUGUCUCUGGAGGACCCUAGCAUAAUACACAAGAAGAAUGAAUACAUACAUGUAUUUUUCACAGAAGCAUUACUCAUAACAUGUACAAACUGGAAACAACCCAAAGGUUCAUCAACUGAUGAGUAAAUAAAACAUAAUGUAUUCAUAGUAUGGACUAUCAAUCUGCAAUACAGAGAAAUGAUAGAUCCUCCAGCACAUAUUGAACCUGAAUAUAAAAUGAAAAAUUAAAUAAUUUACUUUAUUCACAUUAAAUAUCUAGGAAAAACAAAUCUCUAGAGAGAGUAGAAUCAUGAAAGCUUGGAUGUUAUGUAGGGAUAUGGGUGUAUAACAACAAAGGUGUACUUUAUAGUGGAACCAAAUUCCAUUCUGUUUUUGAAAUGGAGCAGGACCAUAUGGUCCUUGUCCCCCCACCCCCACCAUAUCCUCUGCAUGCCUUUUGCCUGUGGAAGACUUUAAUCAAAGAAUAAGUUUAAUCAGAGAAGUGAGAAAACAGAGAAACAAAAACAGUCUAAGCAGACUAAAUAAUUAAUGACCUAGGCAUUAAUGACCUAAUCAUUAAGUAUAGUCAAGGACCUUUAGUUCUUUCUCAAGGGCUAUAGAUAAUAUUCUGAGCUAUAUCCUGUGAGCUGUCUUAUAGAUACCAAAACACCAGGUGGAGAAGUUAACUACAUGAUGACCAGACUGUACCCAGGACUUAAGCAGCUACAAUUCCAGAAAUUGACCUCAAAGAUAUGGGAACAAGUACACCCCAGAACUGAAGAUUAACUGUACCUAAAAACAACCAAGAUGAUGCUAGUCAGACCACUGAUGACCAAUUGAAGAUGACUGUUAAAGAUGACUGUGCUGUUUCUGCAUGUACCACCCACCCCCCAACUCUGUCUAUAAAAGCUCUCACUCCCUGUUUGUGGGGAGGGGUGUCAGCCUUUGGACAAAUGCCUGCCAUUGUCCCCCCACAGUUUCUGGCAUCUGAAAUAAAGCACACUUUCCUUUCGACCAA